rnacentral:rRNA from 1 species
AACGAACGCUGGCGGCAGGCUUAACACAUGCAAGUCGAACGGUUGUAGCAAUACAGCAGUGGCGCACGGGUGAGUAACGCGUGGAUAUCUGCCUUUUGGUUCGGAAUAACUCCGGGAAACUGGAGCUAAUACCGGAUGGUUCCUGCGGGAUAAAGAUUUAUCGCCAAAAGAUGAGUCCGCGUACGAUUAGCUAGUUGGUGAGGUAAUGGCUCACCAAGGCGACGAUCGUUAGCUGGUCUGAGAGGACGAUCAGCCACACUGGGACUGAGACACGGCCCAGACUCCUACGGGAGGCAGCAGUGGGGAAUAUUGGACAAUGGGGGCGAACCCUGAUCCAGCCAUGCCGCGUGAGUGAUGAAGGCCUCGGUUGUAAAGCUCUUUGGUCGGGGACGAUGAUGACGGUACCCGCAGAAUAAGCCCGGCGUAACUUCGUGCCAGCAGCCGCGGUAA